GGUUAAGUUAGAAAGGGCGCACGGUGGAUGCCUUGGCACUAGGAGCCGAUGAAGGACGGGACGAACACCGAUAUGCUUCGGGGAGCUGUAAGCAAGCUUUGAUCCGGAGAUUUCCGAAUGGGGAAACCCACCACUCGUAAUGGAGUGGUAUCCAUAUCUGAAUACAUAGGAUAUGAGAAGGCAGACCCGGGGAACUGAAACAUCUAAGUACCCGGAGGAAGAGAAAGCAAAUGCGAUUCCCUGAGUAGCGGCGAGCGAAACGGGAUCAGCCCAAACCAAGAGGCUUGCCUCUUGGGGUUGUAGGACACUCUGUACGGAGUUACAAAGGAACGAGGUAGAUGAAGAGGUCUGGAAAGGCCCGCCAUAGGAGGUAACAGCCCUGUAGUCAAAACUUCGUUCUCUCCUGAGUGGAUCCUGAGUACGGCGGAACACGUGAAAUUCCGUCGGAAUCCGGGAGGACCAUCUCCCAAGGCUAAAUACUCCCUAGUGACCGAUAGUGAACCAGUACCGUGAGGGAAAGGUGAAAAGCACCCCGGAAGGGGAGUGAAAGAGAUCCUGAAACCGUGUGCCUACAAGUAGUCAGAGCCCGUUAACGGGUGAUGGCGUGCCUUUUGUAGAAUGAACCGGCGAGUUACGAUCCCGUGCAAGGUUAAGCAGAAGAUGCGGAGCCGCAGCGAAAGCGAGUCUGAAUAGGGCGAAUUGAGUACGUGGUCGUAGACCCGAAACCAGGUGAUCUACCCAUGUCCAGGGUGAAGUUCAGGUAACACUGAAUGGAGGCCCGAACCCACGCACGUUGAAAAGUGCGGGGAUGAGGUGUGGGUAGGGGUGAAAUGCCAAUCGAACCUGGAGAUAGCUGGUUCUCUCCGAAAUAGCUUUAGGGCUAGCCUCAAGGUAAGAGUCUCGGAGGUAGAGCACUGAUUGGACUAGGGGCCCCUACCGGGUUACCGAAUUCAGUCAAACUCCGAAUGCCGAUGACUUAUCCUUGGGAGUCAGACUGCGAGUGAUAAGAUCCGUAGUCGAAAGGGAAACAGCCCAGACCGCCAGCUAAGGUCCCAAAGUAUACGUUAAGUGGAAAAGGAUGUGGAGUUGCUUAGACAACCAGGAUGUUGGCUUAGAAGCAGCCACCAUUUAAAGAGUGCGUAAUAGCUCACUGGUCGAGUGACUCUGCGCCGAAAAUGUACCGGGGCUAAACGUAUCACCGAAGCUGCGGACUGUUCUUCGAACAGUGGUAGGAGAGCGUUCUAAGGGCUGUGAAGCAAGACCGGAAGGACUUGUGGAGCGCUUAGAAGUGAGAAUGCCGGUAUGAGUAGCGAAAGAGGGGUGAGAAUCCCCUCCACCGAAUGCCUAAGGUUUCCUGAGGAAGGCUCGUCCGCUCAGGGUUAGUCGGGACCUAAGCCGAGGCCGAAAGGCGUAGGCGAUGGAUAACAGGUUGAUAUUCCUGUACCACCUCCUCACCAUUUGAGCAAUGGGGGGACGCAGGAGGAUAGGGUAAGCGCGGUAUUGGAUAUCCGCGUCCAAGCAGUUAGGCUGGGAAAUAGGAAAAUCCGUUUCCCGUGAAGGCUGAGCUGUGAUGGCGAGCGAAUUAUAGUAGCGAAGUUCCUGAUUCCACACUGCCAAGAAAAGCCUCUAGCGAGGUGAGAGGUGCCCGUACCGCAAACCGACACAGGUAGGCGAGGAGAGAAUCCUAAGGUGAUCGAGAGAACUCUCGUUAAGGAACUCGGCAAAAUGACCCCGUAACUUCGGGAGAAGGGGUGCUCUGUUAGGGUGCAAGCCCGAGAGAGCCGCAGUGAAUAGGCCCAGGCGACUGUUUAGCAAAAACACAGGUCUCUGCGAAGCCGUAAGGCGAAGUAUAGGGGCUGACGCCUGCCCGGUGCUGGAAGGUUAAGAGGAGCGCUUAGCGUAAGCGAAGGUGCGAAUUGAAGCCCCAGUAAACGGCGGCCGUAACUAUAACGGUCCUAAGGUAGCGAAAUUCCUUGUCGGGUAAGUUCCGACCCGCACGAAAGGCGCAACGAUCUGGGCACUGUCUCAACGAGAGACUCGGUGAAAUUAUAGUACCUGUGAAGAUGCAGGUUACCCGCGACAGGACGGAAAGACCCCGUGGAGCUUUACUGCAGCCUGAUAUUGAAUGUUGGUACAGCUUGUACAGGAUAGGUAGGAGCCUUGGAAACCGGAGCGCCAGCUUCGGUGGAGGCAUCGGUGGGAUACUACCCUGGCUGUAUUGACCUUCUAACCCGCCGCCCUUAUCGGGCGGGGAGACAGUGUCAGGUGGGCAGUUUGACUGGGGCGGUCGCCUCCUAAAAGGUAACGGAGGCGCCCAAAGGUUCCCUCAGAAUGGUUGGAAAUCAUUCGCAGAGUGUAAAGGCACAAGGGAGCUUGACUGCGAGACCUACAAGUCGAGCAGGGACGAAAGUCGGGCUUAGUGAUCCGGUGGUUCCGCAUGGAAGGGCCAUCGCUCAACGGAUAAAAGCUACCCCGGGGAUAACAGGCUUAUCUCCCCCAAGAGUCCACAUCGACGGGGAGGUUUGGCACCUCGAUGUCGGCUCAUCGCAUCCUGGGGCUGUAGUCGGUCCCAAGGGUUGGGCUGUUCGCCCAUUAAAGCGGUACGCGAGCUGGGUUCAGAACGUCGUGAGACAGUUCGGUCCCUAUCCGUCGCGGGCGCAGGAAAUUUGAGAGGAGCUGUCCUUAGUACGAGAGGACCGGGAUGGACGCACCGCUGGUGUACCAGUUGUUCUGCCAAGGGCAUCGCUGGGUAGCUAUGUGCGGACGGGAUAAGUGCUGAAAGCAUCUAAGCAUGAAGCCCCCCUCAAGAUGAGAUUUCCCAUUCCGCAAGGAAGUAAGAUCCCUGAAAGAUGAUCAGGUUGAUAGGUCUGAGGUGGAAGUGUGGCGACACAUGGAGCUGACAGAUACUAAUCGAUCGAGGACUUAACCAA
rnacentral:rRNA from 1 species